AGCUUUCUUGCAGGAUCAGCCUUCGGCCUUGGGCUCUUCCCAGCCUGGCAAGCGCUCGACCGCGCAGCAGGAAUGCAUCCCGGCCCAUCCACCCUCUCCCACUCAUGACCCCUCCAUGGGCAUCCAGUGCAGGUGGAUUAUGGGCUCGUGGAACAGCAUUUGUACAAUUACAUGGAAAAACAAUGAGUAGGAAGGAGGAAACGAGAACCACACCAACACGUCUGGGAGCAGGUUUUUGGGAAUCAGUGUCACCCUUGCCCUCAUCACCCUCGUAAGGACCAUGUCACUGAUAUGUGUGACCCCGGUGAGUCUGGUUUUGCUGGGAGGGAGAUGUUCUGGCACCUCUUUGCCCUCUUUUUGUCGUGGUCCAUCCAUUUUCCUUUCCCAAAUGUCCUUGGUCCCUUUUCCUGCUGUGCCGCAGCCACCAGAUCUGGGAGUCACCAGGAGAAAUGGAGCUGGAAAGUAAAACUGGUACCAAACCCAUCACCGGGUUCUCUCCUGGAGCACAGGGGUGGGCUGUGGCCAUUGGACCUGUAAACUGGAUUUGUUUUAGAGCAUCACAGUAACCAGCAUCAUGCGGCAGUCCAGCUAAGGGCUGUGAGGGGUGGAAUCUGGGGCUCCUUUGUAGGGAUCUUGGCUCCUUUUUUAAAAGUUUGUGCUUUUGAUUUAUGAUUCUGGAAAAUCCAGCUUAUUUGCCAUUUUUUUCCCCCGUUAAGAGGCUUUUUGUUCAUCUCUCGUUCUGGAAGAGAAGUCAACUCAAUGACUGGAGAUGAAAAUAGUUCAAUCAAAUCUCCAUGUUUCUUUUCUGCUUGGGAACCUGGGGGAGCGGGGUGUGGGCUGCACAGCCAAGCUGCUCAGACGGGGAUGGAGAAAACAAACAUGGCGCCUCAUCACUCCCCUGCUCCUGGACCACGAGGUGAUGGAGAUGAUCAUCCUGGCCUCAGCCCUGCCUGCCCUUUUGGGACCAUCUCCUUGUUCCUGGGUGGUGAACUGAAUCAGAUUCCCUGGGCAAAUAUUUGAUACGCAGCACUUCUGUGUGUGUUGGCAAGAACACCAGUGUAUAAUAAGGUGCCGCUGGGUUGACCAUCUGCCCCAGGGCCCUCCAAAGCACCCCUGUGGCAAUAGCACCUCCAAAGCCAUCGUUUAUUCUCUGUGCUCUGGAACUUUAAAGGCAUUUCACCUUGGAAAUACCCUCACGGAGCUGCUCACCGUCACCUGCCUCUUUCUUGUCCCCCCUGUGCCCAGGCUGGGCGGAUCUGCACGGGUACGCGGUGAGAAAUGUCCUUCCACAAAGCGAAGGGCAAGCCCAGCGCCAGGAUUUCCACACCGACGUCUCUUACAACAGCGCUUCUGGCGCAACCGGUUCCUCUCGGUGCGGAGAUGGUAUCAAGUUUGAAGUUCAGGCUGUAUUGACAGAGAUUUUUGUCAACAAAAAGGUGUUGAAGGAUGCCGUGUUUGUGGAAGAAGUCACAAAGAGGUGAAAGAUAUCGCCUUCAGGAGACUCUUUCCUACCAAACAGGUGUUUGCUUGGUUUUUGGCAGGAGCUGGAGGUGUGGACGUGGUGGCUCCCUGCUCCCCAUGCCUUGGCCGGUCCAGCUUGGCAAACAUCCAUCCCACAGUGAUGAUGGUGAUGGUGAGACGUGACGGAGCAGGGGGUGAAGAGCAGAAACCAGAGCGCUCACACAGUGAUCCACCCUGGAACCCUGCCCGGGAAAGUGGGCAUUGCGGCUUCACCAAGUUGUAUUAGGGGACUCAAGUGUCCCAAGUAAGAAACAAGAGUGUUGGUGCUGCCAGGCACAACUAACCACAGGAAAUGAAAUAAAUGGAGUGGGCUGGUGGAAAAGGGCUUUUCCCUCUUGUCUCUCUCUUUUUUUAAUUUCAAUAUGGGUCAAAAAGAUGGGUGGAAGGAUCAGGUCCAGCCUCUGCCAGCCUCCUUCCCUUGGAAAGCUGAAAGAGCCACUCAGCCUCUGAGAUGGUGAUCCCAGCUGGUUUCCACCUUUGGGUUUUCUGUAAGAGUGGCUAUUAUUGUAACCUUGGAGGAAAACGAACCGUUUUGGGGUUUAUCAGAGGUUUUACCAAAUACAGAGCCACCAGUUUUGAUCAGGAAAGCAGAUUCUCCACGAGGAGCUGUGCAGGACUAGGUCGGUGCCUCCUGUCUUUACUCAGUGCUCUGCUAAUGUGCCCAGGAGAAUUCAAUUAAAGUGUUGUUUUUCAGAUAGGUGCAAUAGAAAAAUAGAGCAUGGUGUCUCCUCUUGACAUAAUGAUCAAAACAGGAGUGCGAGAGGCUGAAUCCAGACUGGUCCUACAUUUAUCUCAGUGCUGGGACCAGGUAACCCAGCACAAAUGUUGUUUCAAGGCUUUUUUGGUGUCUCCCAGCCCUGAGCGAGGCGAUCAGAGGAUGCUCCCUUCAUGCAGCCCCCGGGUUGUGUGGGACAUGGACUGUCUCCUCCUCCUGUCGAGGACACAGGUGUGAACACAAGGCCACCUUUGCCCAGGUAAGAGCAACAUUUAGCUUUCUUUUUCCUCCAAAUGUCACCUGUUUUCACUCAAUUUUCCGCAGUGAUGGUUUCGUGCCUCCUAUGAGGCUCUGGGCUCCCCUGCAUCCCGCUGCAGCGUGUGGCACUUAACCCCGCGUGCCCGUGCUCCGGCCUGGUUUGCGUCCUGCAGCAGCGAGGCCAGAGCCUUGUCUCAUCUAAUCAGGGCCAGGAGAGCAAACAGGCAAAAAACCCACUUGUAAAAAACAAAGUCAACACCGCUUUGGCAGUUGAGAAAAGCUGAGGGGUCUGGUCCAUGAUGUUUGAAUUUUUGCAGGGAUGCACGUCAA